rnacentral:lncRNA from 1 species
AACAACCUCUAAAUUAUUAAAUUAAUUAAAUUACUAUUCUAAUUUUUUAACUCUUAUCACUUCAGUCCUAAUUAAUCUAAUUCAAAGAAUUAGGCUAUAAUUUAUACUAUCAAGGAUUGUAAUCCUAAAAAUUCUAUAAAAUUAAAUUCUACUUAUAUAAAUCCUAAUCUAACAUGCUCAAUUAUUAUAAAAUAGGAAAAUAAUAAAAAUUUAAAUUUUAGAGUAUAAUUGACAACUCACAAAAAGCUAAGUAUAUUGCUCAACAUUAUCUAAAAAAGCAAUAUAAUCACAAAAUAAGGAGCAUAAUUACCAAAGAAGAAAAUGUAUUAAAAAAUGAGUUUCUCCAACUACAAUAGGAAUCAUGUAGCUUAAAUCAUGUCCAACACCUAAUAAAGAUCUUAUUCUCUCCUCAAUUCUCUUACCUUAUUUUAUAAUAGAUGUGUCUUUAGGACCUUAAAAUCAAAAAGCCGUUGUAUUAUUAGAUUUAGCAACCUUAGCUUGUUUUAUAGAUAAAAACUUUGUCAAGAAAUAAGAAAUAUCUUUAGUCAAGAAAACUAAACCCGUAUAUGUAAAAAUCAUAGAUGGUAGUUUAUUAUCUUUUAGAAACAUUACUCAUGAAAUUAUUCCUUUAGAUAUAGCAAUUAAGAAUCAAAA